rnacentral:rRNA from 1 species
GGCCCUUCGGGGUACUCGAGCGGCGAACGGGUGAGUAACACGGUGAGUAACCUGCCCCUGACUCUGGGAUAAGCCCGGGAAACUGGGUCUAAUACCGGAUACGACCACUCCAGGCAUCUGGUGGUGGUGGAAAGAACUUUGGUCAGGGAUGGGCUCGCGGCCUAUCAGCUUGUUGGUGGGGUAGUGGCCUACCAAGGCGACGACGGGUAGCCGGCCUGAGAGGGCGACCGGCCACACUGGGACUGAGACACGGCCCAGACUCCUACGGGAGGCAGCAGUGGGGAAUAUUGCGCAAUGGGCGAAAGCCUGACGCAGCGACGCCGCGUGGGGGAUGACGGCCUUCGGGUUGUAAACCUCUUUCAGCAGGGACGAAGUUGACGUGUACCUGCAGAAGAAGCGCCGGCUAACUACGUGCCAGCAGCCGCGGUAAUACGUAGGGCGCAAGCGUUGUCCGGAAUUAUUGGGCGUAAAGAGCUCGUAGGUGGCUGGUCGCGUCUGCCGUGAAAGCUUAGGGCUUAACCCUAGGUCUGCGGUGGAUACGGGCCGGCUAGAGGUAGGCAGGGGCAAGUGGAAUUCCUGGUGUAGCGGUGAAAUGCGCAGAUAUCAGGAGGAACACCGGUGGCGAAGGCGGCUUGCUGGGCCUUACCUGACGCUGAGGAGCGAAAGCGUGGGGAGCGAACAGGAUUAGAUACCCUGGUAGUCCACGCUGUAAACGUUGGGCGCUAGGUGUGGGGGUCUUCCACGACUUCCGUGCCGGAGCUAACGCAUUAAGCGCCCCGCCUGGGGAGUACGGCCGCAAGGCUAAAACUCAAAGGAAUUGACGG